rnacentral:lncRNA from 1 species
CCUAUAUUGUAAUAUCCUCUUCACUAUAGCAUAGAAACGCAAACGAAGACGGAAAUAAACAAUUGUGGUCUUAGUGUCAGCCUCAUAGGCAGGCCCGGCCCUUUACACAUUCUUGAGAUACAUGUGUAUGGGGCCUCAACAUAUAUAAGCCCAUUUUUAACUUUUUUUUUUUUUGUAAUGUUUAUUAAAGACAACAAAUGAAUUAGUUAGAAGAAAGCAUUUUAGAGGCCCGGAUGUUUUAUAUAGAGGCCCCAAUUUUUGGAAAUUUUUUGUUUUUGGCAAAUUUUACAGUAUUAUUUUAUAUGUAGAGGCCCCAAUUUUUUAUUUUGCAUUGGGCCACAACUAUUACAGGACCGGGCCUCCUCAUAGGCAGAUUAAGCAUGAUGAUUCUUAAUUAAAUUUAUGGAUAAGAGUUAGAACAUGCUUAUGCUAUUUAAUUAAGAAUAAACUAACAUGCAUGUAUAAAUACCAGAAUAAACUUAUGUUAGUAU